UAUUUCCCAGCACCUGUUCAGUCUCAGGAAACUCCUAAUCAGCAAUACCAACUUCCUUUAUCGCAACAUACUCACCCCGCUGCAGCCCCGACCCCACAUCAGCAAUAUCAACAGACCCCACAUCCCCAAUACCCUCAGCCGCCACCUCAUGUUCCUCAACAGCAGCCACCACCUCAUGUUCCUCAACAACAGCCACCAUCACAUCCAUCCAUGAAUCCAUCUCAACUUCAACCUCCUCUGGGGCACCAUGUUGAGGAACAACCACCUUAUCCUCCUCAGAAUUAUCCUCCCAAUGUCCGCCAGCCACCAUCUCAGUCCCCCACCGGUCCUCCUCCUCCUCAACAGUUCUAUGGGGCACCAUCCCACUCCUAUGAACCGCCAUCUAGCAGACCCAGUUCAGGCUAUUCUUCUGGAUAUGGUUCCCUAUCUGGCUCUGGCCCUGCUGAGCAGUAUCGUUAUGGCGGGCCACCUCAGUAUGGUGGCAAUCCUGCACUGAAACCACCACAACUGCCAACUGCUUCAGUGUCUCCUAGUGGUGGAAGCGGUUACCCUCAGCUCCCAACUGCCAGGAUACUCCCACAAGCACUCCCUACUGCAUCUGCAGUGAGUGGUAGCUCAGGUUCUGCUGGAACUGGAGGAAGGGUUUCCGUUGAUGAUGUGGUUGAUAAAGUUGCUAAUAUGGGAUUCCCCAGAGACCAUGUGAGGGCAACAGUUCGGAAGCUGACUGAGAAUGGUCAAUCAGUGGACCUAAAUGCAGUGCUGGAUAAGCUCAUGAAUGAUGGUGAAGUCCAACCCCCACGAAGUUGGUUUGGUCGGUAGCAUAAUAACACGAUUAAUUCAUGUAUAGGAGAACCAAUUGCUAUGAAAGGUGGUUUAUGUGGAGACUUGUUGUUCGGUUGGAUUGUGCCAAAGUGGAUGUUUUAACUCUUUUCUUCUUUCUCUAUUCUUGUUCCUUGGAAAGUUCAAACUUGUUUGUUUACUUUUCUGGCUCUGAUUUAUGACUAUUUUCAUCUUGCUUUGUAUAUCCGCAAUAAAUAG
rnacentral:lncRNA from 1 species